rnacentral:rRNA from 1 species
AUUGAACGCUGGCGGCAUGCUUUACACAUGCAAGUCGAGCGGUAACAGGCCUUCGGGUGCUGACGAGUGGCGAACGGGUGAGUAAUGCAUCGGAACGUACCCAGAGGUGGGGGAUAACGCAGCGAAAGCUGUGCUAAUACCGCAUGUGAUCUGAGGAUGAAAGCGGGAGACCGAGCAGCAAUGUUUGGCCUCGCGCCUUUGGAGCGGCCGAUGUCGGAUUAGCUAGUUGGUGGGGUAAAGGCCUACCAAGGCGACGAUCCGUAGCUGGUCUGAGAGGACGACCAGCCACACUGGGACUGAGACACGGCCCAGACUCCUACGGGAGGCAGCAGUGGGGAAUUUUGGACAAUGGGCGCAAGCCUGAUCCAGCAAUGCCGCGUGCGGGAAGAAGGCCUUCGGGUUGUAAACCGCUUUUGGCAGGAACGAAACGGUGUCCGCUAAUACCGGGCGCUAAUGACGGUACCUGCAGAAUAAGCACCGGCUAACUACGUG